rnacentral:rRNA from 1 species
UUUUAAUUGAAGGCUUGUAUGAAGGGUUGGACAAAGGAUAAGCUGUCUUUGUUUUUGAUUUUGAAUUUGUCUUUUAAGUGAAAAGACUUAAAUUAUUUUAAGGGACGAUAAGACCCUAUAAAUCUUUAUAUAAAUAUAUUUUCAUUUUAAUUUUUAAUGUUUAUAGAAACGAAAGUGUGAGAUAUUAUGUUGGGGUGAUAAGAAUAAAAAAUAAACUGUUCUAAAAAAAAACAAAGUUGUUUGGAUAAUAAUGGAUCCUUUUUAAAGAUUAAAAGUUUAAGUUACUUUAGGGAUAACAGCGUUAUUUUUUUUGAGAGUUCUAAUCGAAAAAAAAGUUUGCGACCUCGAUGUUGAAUUAAAAUUUUCUUUAUGGUGCAGCUGCUAUAAAAGAGAGUCUGUUCGACUUUUAAAGUUUUACGUGAUCU